rnacentral:lncRNA from 1 species
UGGCCUCUUGAAUACUAUCCACAAGGUGGCUUACUAAUAAAUUUGUUUUUUUGUAGUUCUGGAAAGUGGGAAGUUUGAGUUCAAAGAGCCAGAAGAUUCAAUGUCUGGAGAGAGUUCCCGGCCUGCUGUUUAUGCCUGGUGCCGCUUCAGAAGACCUGAGCUUACAGUGCCACAAAAAUAAAAUAAGUUGAUGAAAUGAAGAUUAAACAAUAAAGAAG